UCCAGACUCCUACGGGAGGCAGCAGUAGGGAAUUUUGCGCAAUGGGCGAAAGCCUGACGCAGCAACGCCGCGUGAUCGAGACGCCCUUCGGGGUGUAAAGAUCUGUCAGUGGGGACGAAACUUGACGGUACCCACAGAGGAAGCACCGGCUAAAUACGUGCCAGCAGCCGCGGUAAUACGUAUGGUGCAAGCGUUAUCCGGAUUUACUGGGUGUAAAGGGAGCGCAGGCGGUUCUGCAAGUCUGAUGUGAAAGCCCGGGGCUCAACCGCGGGACUGCAUUGGAAACUGCGGGACUGGAGUGUCGGAGGGGUAAGCGGAAUUCCUGGUGUAGCGGUGAGAUGCGUAGAUAUCAGGAGGAACACCGGUGGCGAAGGCGGCGUACUGGACGAUGACUGACGCUGAGGCUCGAAAGCGUGGGGAGCAAACAGGAUUAGAUACCCCAGUAACA
rnacentral:rRNA from 1 species